CGCACCUUGCGCUCCUUGGUAUUCCGAGGAGCAUGCCUGUUUGAGUGUCAUUAAAUUCUCAACCCCUCCAGCUUUUGUAAGUUGUGAUGGGGCUUGGAUGUUGGGAGUUUGCGGGCUUCUAUAAUAGAGGUCGGCUCUCCUUAAAUGCAUUAGCGGAACCGUUUGCAGUCCCGUCACUAGUGUGAUAAUUAUCUACACUGUGAUGAUUGCUCUCUGGCUUGUUCAGCUACUAAUCGUCCUUUAACGGACAAUGUAUAAUGAACAUCUUGACCUCAAAUCAGGUAGGACUACCCGCUGAACUUAA
rnacentral:misc_RNA from 1 species